rnacentral:lncRNA from 1 species
UUUUUUUCUCUCAUGGAAGUGUUAUAAAGUAUUGCAACUGAUUGUAACAUUAAAUCAAAAACACUAACAUUAUACUUGGGACGUAAGCAACGUUCCCAACCGAGUAGUAUCAGAAGAAAAGAAGACACCAGAUGGGAUUUUUAUUAAUCUUAAGAAAAAAAGAAAUUCCUCUUAAAACUACCUGAAGCAACCCAUUCCACUUUUCCUGACUACCUCCCAAUGCCGACUCCCUCCCAUUUUCCACUGUAGCCUCUGCGACACACGUCUGAUCAUAAAUAAGGUCUCCUGUACCCUGAGUCUCUUCAGACUCUACCUCUGCCUGAAAGGAAACCUGCCACCUCACCCACAAAACGGCUUCCCCUGCAGAUGGCAAGAGAGAGAGCUACUCAUUCUUCCAGACUGUGUAACUUCCCUACCUUUCCUGGCAACUCCCCUUGCCCUACUUUGAAGCUCAGAACUAAUGGCAGCAUUGCCAUCCCUCCAUCUACCUAUCCAUCCAACAAAUACAUGCUUAGUGGCUACGUACCAGGCACUGUGUUAGAUGUAGGCUACCGGACAGUAACUCCCACUGUUAAAAUCUAGGGAAACAGAUGUGAUGCAAUCACACAAGUAAAAAAUUGCCAAUUCGGAAAGAGUAGGAAGCUAUGUGAAUGAGGAGGAUCCAGUGAGGCCAAAGUGAGGGAAAGAGUAUUUCAAAAGGAAGGAAGGCAUGAAUUCAGUUUUCAGGGAAAGCAAGUGCAACUGGGCACGGUGGGUAAGGUGAGUAAGGAAAGAGUGGUAGGAGUGAGGAAGUGGGCAGAGCCUUGAGGCCAUGGACAUGAGGGCCAGAACAUGCAAGGCCGUAAGGGUCACGUUGAAGACUUUGGAUUUUAUUCUAAAUGCAAUCAGAAACAAGUAGUAGAGUACUUUGAUUCUGUAGCACAGCGACCUGCUCACCUGCCCAUGUUUACCCAGGAUGCUUGCCCUUCACCUCUACCCCAAUUCCUGCCAUUCUAGAUGGCUUUAACAUCCGUGCCUUCUCAGUUUCACGGCAUCCUGUGUUCCAGUGACCUCCACUACACCUCAACCAGACUUCUCACUUUUUCCUUGUCCCACACUAUUGCACCUGUGAAAAUCCAAUUCUAAUGUUUCCAAUAUUUCAGUGUCAGACCAUAACCUCCUUCAUUCCUUCCACUCCCUAACAUGUCUACCAUCCAACCUCUAAAUUUUUUUUAUCCGGUUAGCAAAUAAUUGAAAGUAAUAUGAUCUCAUUGGAAUAAGUGGAAUAAUUACUAUUUCCUCUAUCCCUACACCAAGGUAUGUAGGCUUCUCAACACCUUUCUCCAUGCUUAUGCCAACAUAUAUGAACUUAUUCACAAAGAGACGCUUGGUUUGAUUACAAAAGGUGAAUCAUACUCAAUACAUAAUUCUGUAACUCAGAAGGUUACAAUAAAAAUUUUGUAAAAAUAAAAAUCAUGAACAAAUCUCAAGCCAGGAGAUACAGAUUGAAUUCAUUAAGUUGCAUUAGGUUGCAUUAAAAGCAUUAUUCUAGGUUCCCCUUCACAGGGGACCUUAACUUGUGGUUUGCUGCAACAAACUUGCUGACCCCAGGACACCUUGAAAUGGCGUUCAAGUGGAGUGAAAGUACUUCCAGUCUUGGUAGUAGAGAGGAACCGACGCUCGUGACUGAAAACAUUGGGAGCAAGAAGGUUUUUCACAUCCCUUCAGCUGUGGGUAGCAGGUCUCAGGUCGUGAGAACUAAAGCCAUCUGCCUUUCACCACCUGGCUCGCUACUGCCCAAGAAAUGUGCAGGGCAGGCUGCUGGCAGGUACUGAGGGAACCACAACCAUGAGGAGCAAAGAAAACUAAACCUCACAUGGGGUUUGGAAAGAAAGAUGGCUAACAGAAGGGAAACUGGAGAUUCCUACUGUAGUAGAACCAAUGGAAGAAACAGAUGAGAAUUUUAAUGAAAAUAUAAUGGAAUUACAGCACUACAAACAAAAAAACCAAAACCCAAUGCUUUCAGGAAUUAAAAAACAUGAUUUCUUAAUUAGAAAUUCAAUAUCCAACAGAAAGAGAAUGGCUGCCUUUGAGAACCACACUAGUGGUCAGAAAAAUCAGGUGAAAAUAUCUCACAAGAUACCCUGUGAUAGACCCUGAGGGAAAAGGCAAGUUGUGUGGAGAGCAUAUCCAGGAGACAAAACAAAUAGGAGGAAAAGAACAUGUGGAGAGGUAAUAAUUGCAUAAAUAAUGGAAAAAACCUUUUAGGACUCAAGAAAGUCUCGAGGCCCUGAAUAUCAGGGAUAAAGAGAAAACCCUGCCAGGUUGUUGGCACCAUGGGACAAAGGCUUUCUGGGAUGGUGGAGAGUUGGCAGUAGAGACACUGCUUAGGGACACCAGGGCACUGACACGGGGCCUCCUGAAUGCUGAGUUUGGUUCACACACCAAAAGAGUCCAAUGUCUGUACUUCAUGCUGCAGUUCUCCUAGGGUCUGGCACAUUUCCUCUUGUCCUUUGUCACUAGUAUCUGAGUUCAACCUCAGGGACUCUACAGUAGUCAUUUCCUUCCACAGACCAUGUGAAACACUGCAGGCACUAAACUACCUAGGUAAAAAUUAGAAGUAUAACAAAAAGAAAAUAUUCAUAGGGGAGGUAGAUGCAUGAUUGUUACAAGAAGCCUUUACCUUUAUUUAUGAAACAUAUAUGAAGGUGGUAUGGUCAUUGACAAGAGCAGAGACUCUGGGUGCCGCCACUUACUAGCUCUGUAACCAUGGGUAAGAAACCUUUUCUGUGUUUUGGUUUCCUGAAAAAUAAAUGGAAUUAAUCACAGCUAUCUCAUUAAGUGCAAAGAUUAAAUGAGUUAGUACAUGUGCCACAUUGGUAGCUUUGUCUGGCACAUAGCAAGUCCUUAGUAAAUAAAAGCAAUGCUGCUGCUGCUACUACUACUGCUUACAGGAAAACAGCAUUGUACAUAGAACUUUAAUUUUAGAAUCCGAAGAGUUGAGCUUAAAUGCCAACUUUAAGAUUUUAGAGUUUUAUACCAUAGCUAUGGUAGUUUUCCUUCUAUGUUUACAUAUUUUAUAUGUAAAACAGGAAAUAUGAGUACCUUUCUCUUUCAACAUCCAUCCAUCUAUCCACUGAGCAUCUACUACGGAUCAGCUAUUGUGUAGUGGCUGGAAUAGAAAUAUGAAUAAGAUACAGUUCUGCCCUUCAAGAGCUCACAGUCUGGUGAGCAAUAUUCAAGAACCUUAGUUUCAUUUCAUCUCAGUAUUUUUUUUAAUAUUUUAUUUAUUUAUUCAUGAGAGACACAGAGAAGGCAGAGAUAUAGGCAGACGGAGAAGCAGACUCCUCUCAGAGAGCCCGAUGUGGGACUUGAUCCCAGAACCC